rnacentral:rRNA from 1 species
AAUGGAGGAAACUCUGAUGCAGCAACGCCGCGUGGAGGACGAAGGUUUUCGGAUUGUAAACUCCUGUCUUUUGGGACGAUAAUGACGGUACCAAAAGAGGAAGCCACGGCUAACUACGUGCCAGCAGCCGCGGUAAUACGUAGGUGGCGAGCGUUGUCCGGAAUUACUGGGCGUAAAGGGCGCGUAGGCGGCCUGUUAAGUCAGAUGUGAAACCCCCAGGCUCAACUUGGGGAUUGCAUAUGAAACUGAUGGGCUCGAGUGUCGGAGAGGAAAGCGGAAUUCCUAGUGUAGCGGUGAAAUCCGUAGAUAUUAGGAGGAACACCGGUGGCGAAGGCGGCUGCCUGGACCGAUAUUGACGCUGAGACGCGAAAGCGUGGGGAGUAAA